rnacentral:rRNA from 1 species
UACGAAGGGAGCUAGCGUUGUUCGGAAUCACUGGGCGUAAAGCGCACGUAGGCGGACGUGUCAGUCAGGGGUGAAAUCCCGGAGCUCAACUUCGGAACUGCCUUUGAUACAGCACGUCUUGAGUCCGGAAGAGGUGGGUGGAAUUCCUAGUGUAGAGGUGAAAUUCGUAGAUAUUAGGAAGAACACCGGUGGCGAAGGCGGCCCACUGGUCCGAUACUGACGCUGAGGCACGAAAGCGUGGGGAGCAAACAGG